AACGAACGCUGGCGGCAGGCUUAACACAUGCAAGUCGAGCGCCCCGCCAGGGGCGCGGCAGACGGGUGAGUAACGCGUGGGAACGUACCUUUUGGUUCGGAACAACUCCGGGAAACUGGAGCUAAUACCGGAUAAGCCCUAACGGGGAAAGAUUUAUCGCCGAAAGAUCGGCCCGCGUCUGAUUAGCUAGUUGGUGAGGUAACGGCGCACCAAGGCGACGAUCAGUAGCUGGUCUGAGAGGAUGAUCAGCCACACUGGGACUGAGACACGGCCCAGACUCCUACGGGAGGCAGCAGUGGGGAAUAUUGGACAAUGGGCGCAAGCCUGAUCCAGCCAUGCCGCGUGAGUGAUGAAGGCCUUAGGGUUGUAAAGCUCUUUUGUCCGGGAAGAUAAUGACUGUACCGGAAGAAUAAGCCCCGGCUAACUUCGUG
rnacentral:rRNA from 1 species